rnacentral:rRNA from 1 species
UACGAAGGGGGCUAGCGUUGCUCGGAAUGACUGGGCGUAAAGGGCGCGUAGGCGGCUUGUAUAGUCGGAUGUGAAAUCCCCGGGCUUAACCUGGGAAUUGCGUCCGAAACUAUGGAGCUGGAGUGUGGCAGAGGGAGGUGGAAUUCCACGUGUAGCGGUGAAAUGCGUAGAGAUGUGGAGGAACACCGAUGGCGAAGGCAGCCUCCUGGGCCAACACUGACGCUCAUGCACGAAAGCGUGGGGAGCAAACAGG